GUCUCUCAGGAAGUCUACCUAUGGAUAUUUGCUUCAAUCAUCCAAAGCUAGAGAGGCUAAGGAUUUCAAUGAAUCAAUUGACCGGCAACAUUCCUCCAAGCUUGGGAGCUUGCAUGAAUCUAAAACUACUUUCUCUGUCAUACAAUAAUUUUGCCGGAAGCAUUCCAAUGGAAAUCGGGAAGUUGUCAAAGCUACAAGUUCUCUAUCUCGGAGGAAAUAAUUUGGCAGGUAAGUUUAAAGGGCUGUUCACAUACAUAUCUUCCACUUCACUAGAUAAAGUAAUACAAAAAUUUUGACAAUUGACAAGAAUUGUUGUCCCUUCACAUCAUAAAACAUCUCUUACAUGCAUAGUGAUAUGCAUGUUGAUGGCCAUGGAGUAUGUCCUUUUACAUAGCUUCACUAAAAGUUAUGUGCAUAAUAAUCCCUAAAACCUCAAUUGUGCAUUUUGAAAGAUGUGUUCCAAUAUCCAUAGCAUUUUCCAAUAAGUAUUAGAAAUACAUUGUAAUAACAUCAAGUCCAACAUACCCAAUCAACUUUUUUAUGAGAUGGAUACUGCUAGUGGCUAGCCACAUUAUAAUGUUUAGUCAGUGUUUUAUAAUCCUUUCAUUAUUAAUGGCAUGUAGUGAUUUUUUUAUUUUUUUUAUUUGUUAGUUUGAGGGAAUAGGAUAAGAAAUUUUAGUUACGAAGGUACUAAAUUUAAAAUGGUCAUAGAUUGAAACAAUAUUCAUGCUGCUAGAAAAUCCAAAAGAGCUUUAAGUGACCAUCUAGACAUUUUAAACUCUUUUGACAAAUAUAUUUCCGUAUGUAUAGCAUUUUCCAAAUAAUUAUUAGACAUACAUCAUGUAACAAUAACUUGUUCCUAAUUUUCAAAAUUAAAAGUAGUUGGUACUUCUUCUCUUUCAUUAGAUCUAUUUGUGUUAACUUAGCACUUGAUAUUUUAAAAUCCACAAGUUUUGUAAAUGGAUUGACAGUAAAUAUACGAAAUGAAAUUUUGGAAACCUAUCAGCACUUGUAUAUUUAGAUUUGUAGCACAACGGUUUCAAUGGUAUGUAUUAAGAUCUUCUAAACUUAUUUUAUACAUUUCAAUGUUAUAAGAAUCAUUAAGUGUAGCUAGACGUCAAAGCUAAGCUUCAAGUUAUUAUGAGCCUAAACGGGCUAGGCAGCAAGGCCUUGCUUCGUGCCUAGAAUAUUGGUUAAACUUAUUUGUUUUCCUAAUAAAAAAUUUAUAAUAAAGCUUAAAAAAAUUGUCAAACAUAACAAAAAAUUUUAUGCUGAUGGAAAGUCUAAAUGAACUUUAGGUUACCAUGCACCUAGGCAUUUUACGCACUGUUGACAAAUAAUUUUCAACAUGUAUGCAUUUUCCAAAUAAUGAUUAGAAAUACAUUAUGAAACAAUAACUUCAUGGGUACUUAAUUAUCAAUUUUUGGUACUUCAUCUUUCAUUUGUUGUAUUUUGUGUUAAUUCAACAUGCUAUAUUUUAAAAUCUACAUAUUUAAAUGGAUUGAAAAAGAAAAAAAAAAUUGAAAAAUAUCAGCACUUGUAUUACUAAAUUUGAGGCCCAACGGUUUCAAUGGUACGCACAUAGGUCUUCGAAAUAGUAUUAUAUUAAAUUCAAUGUUGUAAAAAGUGUAAAAUAUGACUUGACGUCAAGGUUAAGCUCAGGAGUUCUACUAGCCUAAACGAGCUAGGCAUACAAAAGUGUACUGUGUAGGCUAGGUGAUAGGGCAAGCUUCGUGCCUAAUUGCACCUUUAGAACACUUAAUAAAUCUAUUUCGAUUUUUUUAUUUAGUUUCAUGACAAAGAUUUAUAUCAAAUUCUAAAUUUAAAAUUUUCUUAUACAAAAAAGAUUUUUUUGUCGGUGGAAAAUCAAAAUGAACUUCAGGUAACCACCUAAGCAUUUUACACUGUUUUUCACAAAAGUUUUUCAAAAUUAUGCCAUCUACCAAACAUUUAUUAGAAAUAAUGGGUACUUAAUUAUCGAAUUCAAACUAGUAGGUACUUCUCUUUCAUUAGAUCUAUUUUGUGUUAAUUUAACAUUUGAUAUUUUAAAAUCUGUAUGUCUAAAUGGAUUGACAGGAAAUAUUUCAAAUGAAAUUGGAAACCUAUCAGCAAUUGAAGAUCUAGAAUUGCUCUCCAACAAUUUGAAUGGUAUGUAACUACAUCUCUUAAACUUAUGCUAUAUAUUAAAUCGAGUGUUUUAAAAAUCAUAAAGCUUGAAAAAACGUCAAGGCUAACCUUGUAGCUUUUACGAGCCUAAGUGGGCUUGUAUAUAAAAUCGUAAAGUGUGGUUUGGUGGCAAGGCUCGGCUUCAUGCUUAGACGCUCUUUUAAAAACACUAACUAAAACUAUUCAAUUUGUUUAUUUAGUGUCUUGACAAAGAUUUAUACCAAGAUUCUAAAUUUAAAAUUUUUGUAUAUGACAGAUUUUUAUUCUGGUGGAAAAUCUAAACGAACAUUGGGUUUCCACCUAUGCAUUUUACAUUCUUUUGGCAAAUGUUUUUCGAAAUGUGUGGUAUCUUCCAAAUAUUCUUUAGAAACACAACAUGAUCACAUCGAAUCCUAAGUACCCAACAUGCUUAUACUUGCUAAACUUUUCAGUAUUAAUUGAAUUUAGUUUUUUUAUUCUUAAUUUCUUAGAUUGAUGACCUAGAAAUCAUUAUCAGUUAUGAAAACUUUAAAUUUAAAAUGGUCACCUUUAACAAAGAUUUUUAUGCUGAUGGGAAUCAAGAUGAACUUUAGGCUAUCUCUUAGUCAUUUUACAAUCUUUUGACAAAUAAUUUUAAGCAUGUUUGACAUUUUUCAAAUAAUUAUUAGAAAUAUAUUAUGCGACAAUAACUUCAUAAUUACUCAGUCAUCAACUUCAAAUUAGUUGGUACUCCCCCUACUCCCUAAGAUCUAUUUUGUGUCAAUUUAACAUUUGAUGAAACUUUAGGUUUUCACCUAUGCAUUUUACACUCUUUUGACAAAUUAUUUUCAAAAUAUGUGGUAUUUUUCAUGUAAUUAUUAAAACUACAGCAUAAUUAGUUUGAAUCCAAAUUACCCAAUUUGCUUGAGAUGAAGAUCGAUAAUACUAGCGGCUAGCUUCAUUAUAAUGUUUUAGUGCCUAGGAUGCAAUUUAGUUAUGAAAACUCUCUAUUUAAAUGGUCACCUAACCUUUAACAAAGAUAUAUAUGCUGAUGGAAAAUCUAAAUGAGCCUUAUGCUACCACAUAGUCACUUUAUAGUCUUUUGACAUGUUUUUCAGCAUUUAUGGCAUUUUUCAAAUAAUUAGUAAAAAUAUAUCAUACAAAAAUAACUUAUAGUUACCUAAUACUCAACUUCAAAUUAGUUGGUACAUCAUGUCUUUCAUAAGAUCUUUUUGGAUAUAAAAAAAUAAAAAAUAAAAAAAAAUAUUUUGAAAGCGGAAAUUCAGGCCAUGCAUAUUUCAAAAGACUGUCUAAGAUUUAAAAUUGUAAGUUAUGCACGCUUUAAGCUUUUUUCAUUCUUAAGAAAAUCUCUGCAUUCUACUAGAAAAUAGGGGAGUAUUGGUGGGCAACGAAGUCUCCAAAAGCUAAUUAUUUCUUUUGGAUUAUUAGAAGAAUGAAACCUUCAUUUGUGGAAAAACUUCCACAAUUUCCACAAUGAAAGAUAAGGAAAAAUGAUGACAUCCAAUGGAAUAAAUUUUCCAGUUUCAUAGUCAAGCAAAGUUUGUUUUAUUUUUGGAAAAAAGUGACAUUCAUAAUGGUGUGAUGAGCGCCGCUCCCCUGAGAUAAAACCCCAAUCAACACAUUAACCAUAAAUUACCACAUCGAGUCAGAAACAUUCUUUGGACGUUAUUAAUCUAUUACAAUUCAUUUAUUUCAAUAAUAUCUUACUUUUCAUUUAACAAUAUUGAAAAUUACUGGGAACGCUCUGAUACCACUUGAAAAAUAUCUAGGAACACUCUACAGCCACUUGAAAGUUCACGGGAACAUGUUGCUAUGUCAAAUUCAAAUUUUAAGCUUUACCAAGUUUAUGUUCCAAUUAAUCAAUUCGACCUUACGUGCGGAAUUAACACAAUUAAUAGGAACAAGUCACUGAUUAAUUGGUUGUCUAGGUGAUUAAUCAUACAAUCCAAUUUCCCUAAGUUUAAAUGCCGCAAUAAUAAGAUGGAAAGCAAUUAAAUCAACAGACAAUAUGAUGACGAAGAAACCCAACGUGUGUAAAACUCUGGGACCAUGCUAGUAAGUUCCAAUAUACCAAAUCAGUCAGUACAAGUUCUGCCAAACUUCAUACCUAGUCAGGACCUACUGUUCCAAUCUCACGGUCUACUGUCGUAGAUGCUACUAGUCUCCUGCUAGCUUUCUGAUCUACCUCCUGCAACCCAAUCUACUGUCCAAUACAUCUUCAUGGUCUUUAGCUACUUGUAUCACCAAGUGGAAUUCCAAAAACCUCCUGUUCUUGUCCAGUUCCUGUGCUUGUCAUCCACCUCUCUUAAUCCUCUAAUGAGAGAGUCUCUUCCUCAACAGAUAAAGAAGUCCAGGUGUUUUGUCUUCACAAACUUUGAUGUUUUCCCCAACAAUAGAUUGCCCGGAUCACAAGGUGUUUAUGGAUGAAUUCCUUGUUCAGUCCUGCCUUGGAUCACUUGAGAGAAUAAUAGAAGAAUGAUAUCAAUGUUUAGCACAAUGUGGCGAUCUCCUUUUCACGUCCAAGACAUGUUCUAUUUAUACUUGGGGGUAAUUAAGUGUCUUGGACCGUUUAAAACUCUCCAAAAUGCGACCUUAGAACUGGUAGGGUAACACUAUCGUUCGAGUGACAAUUGAGCGGUGAGCGAGCGGCGUGACUUCGCUCGAGCGAAGUCUGGGCAAAGAGCGAGCGACAAGCAUUCUGCUUUUCUCGCUCGAGCGAUGGUCAGGCGAGCAGCUACCGAACUUUCGAUGUCUUGUCCUCCAUUUUGACCUAACACUCAAACCCUAGUCCCUACUAUCUAACUUUACUAAAUUGCACCUUAAGUCACUGACUUUUAUAGCAUUGUACAAUUGAGUCCCUGACUUUUACAAAUUUACAAUUUAGUCCUUUCGUCCACAGAAUUGCCAAUUACACUUUUAGACAUAAAAAAUAUCUAAUAAAUACUACAAAAUCCUUAUCAUGUAUGAAUUUUGUGCUAUUAAUUCUCAAUAACUUAAAAUUCACACUAAUCUAGACUCAAUGAAGUUUGACUUGAUGAAUCUUGACAUACAUAAAUCUAGAGUUAUUAUAGAUAAAUUUAUUUCAUGUAUCUUGAAGUUUUAAUAGGAUUUUAAAUUCAUUAUUAAUAAUUAAUUUUCAUGUACCAAAUGUAGUAUAAAAUGUUUGCUCGUUUGUAAUACUUCAUCAUUUCAAAAAAAUUUAAUCACAGAAGUUGAGUUUUGAGUGUACAAUUUUAUUCUCCUAAAUUUAUAUCUUAAAUUUUAUUUUCUUUGGUUAGGUUGAGACUCAUCAAAUCCUCCCAACAAAUUGGGGUCAAAUAUUACUUUUACAGCACUUGUAAAUUAUUUCAGUAUAACGUGCAAUGCACGUUCAACUUUGACUAGUAUAGACCAAAAGUCAUAAAAUAUACUAUAAGAUAAAUUAAGCACUUCUAAUAAUGAAUUUAUAAGCAUCGAGCUAAAUAAUUUUAGUUAAGUGUUCUUAAUAACGAAAAAAACCAUACUUCUGGAUAUCAAAAGAUUAAUUAAAAAAUAAAAAAAUCUUCUAAAAAGGGAAAUUCAGGCCAUGCGUAUUUCAUAAAACUUUCUGAGAUUUGAACUUUUAAGUUAUGCACACUUUAAGAUUUUUUUUUUCCUUUAGAAAAUCUUUGCACUAUAAGAAAGUGGGGGAGUAUUGGUGUACAAUGAAAUCUCCAAAAAUUAAUUAUUUCUUUUGAAUUAUUAGAAGAGUGAAACCUUCAUUUGUGGAAAAGCUUCCACAAUUUCCACAAUAAAAGAUAAGGAAAAUUCUCAACAUCCAAUGGAAUACUUUUUCCAGUUUCAUAAUCAAGCAUAGUUUAUUUUAUUUUUGGAAAAAAUGAAGUUCAUCAUGGGGUGAUGAGCACCACUCCCUUGAGAUAAAACCUUAACCAACACGUUAACCAUAAAUUAACUUGUACACUUAUCUUGCUUAAGCUUUAAUUUUUUUUAUACAUAGCCACACACACACACACACACUCUCUCUCUCUCUCUCUCUCUCUCUCUCUCUCUCUUACACUUUCAUCAAACUCGUCAUUACCAACCCCCUCCCAAUUAUCUUUUUGCAUUUCAAAUUAGCCAUGGGAAAGAAUGUCAUCUUUAUGUCGUUGGCAAUGGUCUACUUGCUUAUCAACAAUGCAACAUCUCCAAAUAGCUUUACUGAUGAAUAUGCUCUUCUAGCUUUCAAAUCUCAAAUUACUUCCGAUCCAAAUAAAAUUUUGACAAAAAAUUGGUCACAACGAACCUCAUUCUGCAAUUGGAUUGGCAUUACUUGUGGCAGAAGACAUCAAAGAGUUAGGGGAUUGAAUCUAGCAGAUAUGGGUCUAGGAGGUACUAUUGCUAAAGAAAUUGUGAACUCUCUUUUUUGAGAUCCUUAAUUAUUAGCCAUAAUAAUUUUCAUGGGCUCAUCCCUAAUGAAAUUGGUAAGCUAGCCAGCUUCAAGAAAUAGAGAUGCAGCACAAUGAGCUAACUGGUUCUAUUCCACCAACUUUUGAAUUUCUUGAAAAUCUAUUGACGUUAAAUAUCUCCCAUAACGGACUCACCGGAAAUAUUCCUAACAAGAUUUUCAACCACACUUCUUUGAUUGAAAUUAGUUUUGGAAACAAUAGUCUCUCAGGAAGUCUACCUAUAGAUAUUUGCUUCAAUCUUCCAAAGCUAGAGAGGCUAAGGAUUUCAGUGAAUCAAUUGAGCGGUAACAUUCCUCCAAGCUUGCGAGCUUGCAUGAAUCUUAAAUUCCUUUCUCUGUCAUAAAAUAAUUUUGCAGGAAGCAUUCCAAUGGAAAUCGGGAAGUUGUCAAAGCUUCAAGUUCUCUAUCUCGAAGAAAAUAAUUUGGCAGGCAAGUUUAAAGCGUUGUUCACAUACAUAUCUCCCACUUCACUAGAUAAAGUAUUUCAAAAAUUUUGACAAAUGACAAGAAUUGUUGUCUGCGUGUUGAUGGCCAUGGAGUAUGUCCUUUUACAUAGCUUCACUAAAAGUUAUGUGCAUAAUAAUCCCUAAAACCUCGAUUGUGCAUUUUGAAAAAUGUGUUCCAGCAUCCAUAGCAUUUUCCAAUAAGUAUUAGAAAUACAUCGUAAUAACAUCAAAUCCAACAUACCCAAUCAGCUUUUUUAUGAGAUGGAUACAGCCAGUAGCUAGCCACAUUAUAAUAAUUAGUCAGUAUUUUAUAAUUUUUCAUUAUUAAUCGGAUGUAGUGAUUUUUUUUUAAUUUGUUAGUUUCAGGGCAUAUGAUAUGAAAUUUUAGUUAUGAAAACACUAAAUUUAAAAUGGUCAUAUAUUGCAACUAUAUUUAUGCUGCUAGAAAAUCUAAAUGAGCUUUAAGUGACCAUCUAGACAUUUUACACUCUUUUGACAAAUAUACAUCGUAUGUGUAUCAUUUUCCAAAUAAUUAUUAGACAUACAUCAUGUAACAAUAACUUGCUCUUAAUUUUUAAAAUUAAAAGUAGUUGGUACCUCUUCUCUUUCAUUAGAUCUAUUUUGUGUUAACUUAGCAUUCGAUAUUUUAAAAUCCACACAUUUUUUAAGUGGAUUGAUAGUAAAUAUACCAAAUGAAAUUGGAAACCUAUCAGCACUUGUAUAUUUAGAUUUGUAACACAACUGUUUCAGUGGUAUGUAUCAAGAUCUCCUAAACUUAUUUUAUACAUUUCAAUGUUAUGAGAAUCAUUAAGUGUAGCUAGAUGUCAAAGCUAAGCUUCAAGUUAUUAUGAGCCUAAAUGGGCUAGGCGGCAAGGCCUUGCUUCUUGCCUAGAAUAUUGGUUAAAUUUAUUUUUUGUCCUAAUAAAAAAUUUAUACUAAAGCUUAAAAAAAAUUGUCGAAUAUAACAAAAAAAUUUAUGCUGAUGGAAAAUCUAAAUGAUCUUUAGGUUGCCAUGCACCUAGGCAUUUUACGCACUUUUAACAAAUAAUUUUCAACAUGUUUUCAUUUUCCAAAUAAUGAUUAGAAAUACAUUAUGAAACAACAACUUCAUGGGUACUUAAUUAUCAAUUGUUGGUACUUCGUCUUUCAUUAGUUGUAUUUUGUGUUAAUUCAACAUGCUAUAUUUUAAAAUCUACAUAUUUAAAUGGAUUGAAAAAGAAAAAGAAAUUGAAAAAGUAUCAGCGCUUGUAUUACAAGAUUUGAGGCCCAAUGGUUUCAAUGGUAUGUACGUAGGUCUUUGAAAUAGUUUUAUAUUAUAUUCAAUGUUGUAAAAUGCGUAAAAUAUGACUUGACGCCAAGGUUAAGCUUCGGAGUUCUACUAGCCUAAAUGAGCUAGGCAUACAAAAGUGUACUGUGUAGGCUAGGUGAUAGGGCAAGCUUCGUGCCUAAAUGCACCUUUAGCACACUUAUUAAAUCUAUUUCAAUUUGUUUAUUUAGUUUCAUGAUAAAGAUUUAUAUCAAAUUCUAAAUCUAAAAUUUUCUUACCCAAAAAAUAUUUUUUUGCCAGUGGAAAAUCAAAAUGAACUUCAGGUAACCACCUAGGCAUUUUGCGCUGUUUUUCACAAAAGUUUUUCAAAAUUAUGCCAUCUUCCAAACAUUUAUUAGAAAUACAUCAUGCAGCAACAGUAACUCCAUGGCUACUUAAUUAUCGAAUUCAAACUAGUAGGUACUUCUUCUCUUUCAUUAGAUCUAUUUUGUGUUAAUUUAACAUUUGAUAUUUUAAAAUCUGUAUGUCUAAAUGGAUUGACAGGAAAUAUUCCAAAUGAAAUUGGAAACCUAUCAGCAAUUGAAGAUCUAGAAAUGCUCUACAACAAUUUGAGGGGUAUGUAACUACAUCUAUUAAACUUAUGCAAUAUAUUGAGUGUUGUAAAACUCGUAAAGCUUGACAAAACGUCAAGGCUAACCUUUUAGCUUUUACGAGCCUCAAUGGGCUUGUAUAUAAAAGCAUAAAGUGUGGUUUGGUGGCAAGGCUCGGCUUCAUGCUUAGACGCUCUUUUUAAGACACUAAUUAAAUCUAUUCAAUUUGUUUAUUUAGUAUCUUGACAAAGAUUUAUGCCAAGAUUCUAAAUUUAAAAUUUUCGUAUACAACAAAUAUUUUUAUUCUAGUGGAAAAUCUAAACGAACUUUGGGUUUCCAACCUAUGCAUUUGACACUCUUUUGGCAAAUUAUUUCAAGGUGUGGUAUUUUCCAAAUAUUCUUUCGAAACACAGCAUGAUCACAUCAAAUCCUAAGUACCCAACAUGCUUAUACUUGCUAAACUUUUCAGUAUUUAUUGAAUUUAGUUUUUUUAUUCUUGAUUUUUAGAUUGACGACCUAGAAUGCAUUAUCAGUUAUUAAAACUUUAAAUUUAAAAUGGUCACCUUUAACAAAUAUUUUUAUGCUGAUGGGAAUCAAGAUGAACUUUAGGCUAUCUCUUAGUCAUUUUACAAUCUUUUGACAAAUAAUUUUAAGCAUGUUUGACAUUUUUCAAAUAAUUAUUAGAAAUAUAUUAUGCGACAAUAACUUCAUAGUUACUCAGUCAUCAACUUCAAAUUAGUUGGUACUCCCCCUGUUCCCUAAGAUCUAUUUUGUGUUAAUUUAACAUUUGAUGAAACUUUAGGUUUCCACCUAUGCAUUUUACACUCUUUUGACAAAUUGUUUUCAAAAUAUGUGGUAUUUUUCAUGUAAUUAUUAAAACUACAGGAUAAUUACUUCGAAUCCAAAUUACCCAAUUUUCUUGAGAUGAAGAUCGAUAAUACUAGCGGCUAGCCUCAUUAUAAUGUUUUAGUACCUAGGAUGCAAUUUAGUUAAGAAAACUCUCAAUUUAAAUGGUCACCUAACCUUUAACAAAGAUAUAUAUGCUGAUGGAAAAUCUAAAUGAGCCUUAUGCUACCACGUAGUCACUUUAUACUCUUUUGACAUGUUUUUCAGCAUUUAUGGCAUUUUUCAAAUAAUUAGUAAAAAUAUAUCAUACAAAAAUAACUUAUAGUUACCUAAUACUCAACUUCAAAUUAGUUGGUACAUCUUGUCUUUCAUAAGAUCUUUUUGGAUAUCAAAAAAACAAUAAAAAUAAAAAAAAAAUCUUUUCAAAACAGAAAUUCAGGCCAUGCAUAUUUCAAAAGACUGUCUAAGAUUUAAAAUUGUAAGUUAUGCACGCUUUAAGCAUUUUUCAUUCUUAAGAAAAUCUCUGCAUUCUACUAGAAAAUGGGGGAGUAUUGGUGUGCAUUGAAGUCUCCAAAAGCUAAUUAUUUCUUUUGGAUUAUUAGAAGAAUGAAACCUUCAUUUGUGGAAAAACUUCCACAAUUUCCACAAUAAAAGAUAACGAAAAAUGACAACAUCCAAUGGAAUAAUUUUUCCAGUUUCAUAUUCAAGCAAAGUUUGUUUUAUUUUUGGAAAAAAGUGAAAUUCAUAAUGGUGUGAUGAGCACCACUCCCUUGAGAUAAAACCCCAAUCAACACAUUAACCAUAAAUUACCACAUUGAGUCAGAAACAUUCUUUGGACGUUAUUAAUCUAUUACAAUUCAUUUAUUUCAAUAAUAUCUUACUUUUCGUUUAACAAUAUCUAAUAAAUACUACAAAAUCCUUAUCAUGCAUGAAUUUCGUGCUUUUAGUUCUCAAUAAAUUAACAUUCACACUAAUCUGGACUCAAUGAAUCUUGACUUGAUGAAUGUUGACCUACAUAAAUUUAGAGUUAUUAUAGUUAAAUUUAUUUCAUGUAACUUGAAAUUUUAAUAGGAUUUUAAAUUCAUUAUUAAUAAUUAAUUUUUAUAUACCAAAUGUAGUAUAAAAAGGUUGCUCGUUUGUAGUACUUCAUCAUUUCAAAAAAAAUUAAAUAACAGAAGUUGAGUUUUGAGAGUACAAUUUUCUUCACUUAAAUUUAUAUUUUAAAUUUUAUUUUCUUUGGUUAGGUUGAGACUCAUCAAAUCCUCCCAACAAAUUGGGGUGAAAUAUUACUUUUACAGCACAUUUAAUGUAUUUCAGUAUAACGUGCAACGCACAUUCAACUUUGACUAGUACAGACCAAAAGUCAUAAAAUAUAUUAAAAGAUAUAUUAAGCACUUCUAAUAAUGAAUUUAUAAGCAUCAAGCUAAAUAAUUUUAGUUAGAACCGUGCUACAGAGCCCGGGAUUUAAUCCCGGGCUCCGAUCCAGGGCCGAGGUGGAAACACCUCGACCGUUGAUCACCUGCACUUGGGGAGCCCGCCAUCACGAUCGGGGGGACCUCGGCCCCCAGCUCCAAACUCAGGAUUUUAUCUCGAGAGGAGCAGCAUUAUUCUUUUAGUUAAGUGUUCAUAAUAACGAAAAAAAAAAACCUUACUUCUGGAUAUCAAAAGAUUAAUUAAAAAAUAAAAAAAUCAUCAAAAAAGAGAAAUUCAGGCCAUGCAUAUUUCAUAAAGCUGUCUAAGAUUUAAACUUUUAAGUUAAGCACACUUUAAGAUUUUAUUUUAUUUUUUUCCAUAAGAAAAUCUCUGCAUUCUACAAGAAAGUGGGGGAGCAUUGGUGGACAAUGAAAUCUCCAAAAAUUAAUUAUUUCUUUUGGAUUAUUAGAAGAAUGAAACCUUCAUUUGUGGAAAAACAUCCACAAUUUCCACAAUAAAAGAUCAGGAAAAUUCUCAACAUCCAAUGGAAUACUUUUUCCAGUUUCAUAGUCAAGCAUAUUUUAUUUUAUUUUUGGAAAAAAUGAAGUUCAUCAUGGGGUGAUGAGCAACACUCCCUCAAGAUAAAACCUCUACCAACAGGUUAACCAUAAAUUAACUUGUACACCUUCUUGCUUAAGCUUUAAUUUUUUUAUAUAUAUCCGUACACACAUACACACACACACACACACACACUCUAACACUUACAUCAAACCCAUCAUUACCAACCCCCUCCCAAUUAUCUUUUUGCAUUUCAAAUUAGCCAUGGGAAGGAAUGUCAUCUUUAUGUCGUUGGCAAUGGUCUACUUGCUUAUCAACAUUGCUACAUCUCUAAAUAGCUCCACUGAUGAAUAUGCUCUUCUAGCUUUCAAAUCUCAAAUUACUUCCAAUCCAAAUAAAAUUUUGGCAAAAAAUUGGUCACAAGGAACCUCGUUCUGCAAUUUGGAUUGGCAUUACUUGUGGCAGGAGACAUCAAAGAGUUAGGGGAUUGAAUCUAGUAGAUAUGGGUCUAGGAGGUACUAUUGCUAAAGAAAUUGGUGAACUCUCUUUUUUGAGAUCCUUAAUUAUUAGCAAUAAUAAUUUUCAUGGGUUUAUCUCUAAUGAAAUUGGUAAGCUCAGCCAGCUUCAAGAAAUAGAGAUGCAGCACAAUGAGCUAACUGGUUAUAUUCCACCAACUUUUGAAUUUCUUGAAAAUCUAUUGACGUUAAAUAUCUCCCAUAAUGGACUCUCCGGAAAUAUUCCUAACAAGAUUUUCAACAACACUUCUUUAAUUAAAAAUAGUUUUGGAAACAAUAGUCUCUCAAGAAGUCUACCUAUGGAUAUUUGCUUCAAUCUUCCAAAGCUAGAGAGGCUAAGGAUUUCAGUGAAUUAAUUGAGUGGCAACAUUCCUCCAAGCUUGGGAGCUUGCAUGAAUCUUAAACUACUUUCUCUGUCAUACAAUAAUUUUGCAGGAAGCAUUCCAAUGGAAAUCGGGAAGUUGUCAAAGCUUCAAGUUCUCUAUCU
rnacentral:lncRNA from 1 species